UUCCAUUCUACAGAUGAGGGACUGUCUAGCAGGAACUUGGCACUUCCUUGAGUUUUUGACGCUUCAGAAACAGAGGCCAGAAUCAGAACCAAGGUACUGUUCAUCAGCCCGGAGCUUGCCGACUAGGCCAGGCUGAGUGGUCAGUAAGCCCUAGGAAUCUAUCCAUGUUUGGCUCCCCAACACAUGCACAAACACAUGCCAUCACACACAGUUCUGGGACCUGAGCUCAAGACCUCAGAUCUACAUGGCAGGUGCUUUGCCACUGAGCCAUCUUCCCCUCUACGGAUGUAUAAGGAAUCUGUCAUACCACCAUAGAGCCAUCAAUAGUCUGAUCUCAACAAUCUAGCUGCC